rnacentral:rRNA from 1 species
AUGCCCGCCGUCAAACCACCAGAGUGGGAGACCAUGUCUGCCAAGGAGCAGUUGUUGUGGUAUCUCGAGAGGUUAUGCGCCCAGGCAGAUGAGAUGAGCUCAGCGUUGGGUACUGCAAGCACGGGUGCCCCUCUAGUGGUUACCACGCUUGUUGAUCCGGCGGCCUCAACCACGACGCUCGCCUCGUCGGCGCCCGUUGCCGACGUCUCCGGCUCCACCACCAAGGCCCAGGAAGUGCUCGCGGUCACCCACUACGUGCCCCCUGCCUGUGUCACGAUGGGGCACAUCACCUGUUCGACGGAUGGCUCGAACCAAGCUGUCGCCACCAACAGCGCCAACAAGGUCACCACCGUCUGCCCCGAGCCCUUCAUCGACCUCAGCGACAAGUUCGGCGCCCUCAACAUUCAUGUGACGGCCAGCACCAACCCGCCGCUCCACGUCCAGGUUUCAUCACCAAAGUCUUCACCCGACAGCACCCACGGCAUCGCUGUUGCAGGACCGGAGGAGUACGCACUCGUGGCGGCUACUCCAGACGUCGUCCUCAAGCUUGCCGUACGCCCAAACGUCAUACUCAUCAUUCCCAGCGACCUCUCUGCACCGAUGCUGACCACCUGUUCGACGAAAUACUCUCGUCACGACACCAACCUACUGAGGUAUGUGCUCCACCCAGCUGUGGCACCCUCAUGGAUGGUGUUACGACCGAAGCCAUGGCCAUCCUUUUGGAGAGAUCAUGCAGAUGGAAACGCGAAACGGCCCAUGUCGUGGCCGUCAUUAGGUUGCUCUCAUGAACUGUAUUGGAAGCAUGUUGGGCUGCUGUCAGAAGAUACUUUUGCGAUGAAGCAUUUUUAUGGUGUUCUAAAUUCUAUGAGAGAAUCCUGGAAGUAUUUGCAAAGUAUGCAGCUGAAACUACCUUGGCCCUCGUUUUCAAGCAAUGGCCGAGCAGUACCAGUGUGGCCAGAGAUCCCCAAUGAGUUGGCUGGCACUUUUGGUCUUCACAAAAUUUGGAGUGCUAGUAAUCUUGUCCGUACAACCCAAAUACAAUGGAAAAUUUCUGAGCAUCGAGCACGGGAUCUUGCUGACCGAAACGAGGUACGGCCCAUCCCAUGGCCAUCAUUCCCAAUUGGAAGGUCCUUGGAGCUGUUGUUUUUGUUAGCCCAAGUGCAUGACUGUGGUUUGAUUGGUAUUGCAUUUCCUCUGGAAUUAUGUCAUAUUAGUGAUCUUGAGUGCAACCUCCCUCGACACUACAUAAGGAUACCCCCUGUUCAGAUUUUCUGCUUGUCGUCUUUGCAACAGAACACUGAUGAUUCAUGUUUCGCUAAGCAACUAUUACAUGAAGUCCUCUUCUAA